AGCCUGCCCACUGAAUUAUUUUUAAAGGGCCGCGGUAUACUGACCGUGCGAAGGUAGCAUAAUCAUUAGUCUUUUAAUUGAAGGCUUGUAUGAAUGGUUGGACAAAAAGUAAUCUGUCUCAGUUAUAAUAGUUGAACUUAACUUUUAAGUGAAAAGGCUUAAAUACUUUAAGGGGACGAUAAGACCCUAUAAAACUUAACAAUAAUUUGAUUAAAUUAUAAAUUGUUAGUAUAACUUGAUUUUAAUUAAUGUUUGUUGCGUUGGGGCGACGGGAAUAUAAUUAGUAACUGUUCUUAAAUAUUUUAUUAACAAGUAUAAUUGAAGAAUAAUUGAUCCUUUAUUAAAGAUUAAAAGAUUAAGUUACUUUAGGGAUAACAGCGUAAUCUUCUUUGAGAGUCCUCAUCGACAAGAAGGUUUGCGACCUCGAUGUUGAAUUAAGGUAUCCUUAUAAUGCAGCAGUUAUAAAGG
rnacentral:rRNA from 1 species